UCGGAGCCGCUGCCGCCGAGUCCGGAUUCAACCUCGCGCGCCGCUGACGCCUGCCCACCCGACGUGCACUCCCGAUUCCUUUUGGUUCUAAGUCCAAAAUGGCAACUCUCAAAGAUCAGCUGAUUCAGAAUCUUCUUAAGGACGAACAUACCCCCCAGAAUAAGAUCACAGUUGUUGGGGUUGGUGCUGUUGGCAUGGCUUGUGCCAUCAGUAUCUUAAUGAAGGACUUGGCAGAUGAACUUGCUCUUGUUGAUGUCAUGGAAGACAAACUGAAGGGAGAAAUGAUGGCUCUCCAGCACGGCAGCCUUUUCCUUAGAACACCAAAAAUUGUCUCUGGCAAAGAUUAUAAUGUGACUGCAAACUCCAAGCUGGUUAUUAUCACAGCUGGGGCACGUCAGCAAGAGGGAGAAAGCCGUCUUAAUUUGGUCCAGCGUAACGUGAACAUCUUUAAGUUCAUCAUUCCUAAUAUCGUAAAAUAUAGCCCAAACUGCAAGUUGCUUGUCGUUUCCAAUCCAGUGGAUAUCUUGACCUAUGUGGCUUGGAAGAUAAGUGGCUUUCCCAAAAACCCGUGUUAUUGGAAGUGGUUGCAAUCUGGAUUCAGCCCGGUUCCGUUACCUAAUGGGGGAAAGACUGGGAGUUCACCCAUUAAGCUGUCACGGGUGGGUCCUUGGGGAACAUGGAGACUCCAGUGUGCCUGUAUGGAGUGGAGUGAACGUUGCUGGUGUCUCUCUGAAGAAUCUGCACCCUGACUUAGGCACUGAUGCAGAUAAGGAACAGUGGAAAGAGGUUCACAGACAGGUGGUUGACAGUGCCUAUGAGGUGAUCAAACUGAAAGGCUACACCUCCUGGGCCAUUGGACUGUCUGUGGCAGAUGCCGAAAGUAUAAUGAAGAAUCUCAGGCGGGUGCAUCCAAUUUCCACCAAGAUUAAGGGUCUCUAUGGAAUUAAAGAUGAUGUCUUCCUUAGUGUCCCUUGCAUCUUGGGACAGAAUGGAAUUUCAGAUGUUGUGAAGGUGACUCUGACUUCUGAGGAGGAGGCCCGUUUGAAGAAGAGUGCAGAUACACUUUGAGGGAUCCAAAAGGAGCUGCAGUUUUAAAGUUUUCUAAUGUACCACUUCACUGUCUAGACUGUAGCAGGAUUUUAGUUGGAGGUUGUGUAUAUUGUCCUUAUUAUCUGAUCUGUUACUCAAGUAAUAUUAAAAUGGCCUAAGAAAAAAACGUC